rnacentral:piRNA from 1 species
UAGUAUUUGCAUAUAACCUACCCACAUCCUC